UUUUUUUUUUUUUUUUUUUUUUUAAGACAUAUAAACGUUUUAUUCCUAAAUAUUUCCUGUGUACAAUUACCUUAGUCGUCCAGGAUCAGGCUAAGGGUCCCUGUUUACAAAAUGAAACCAUCUAUCCAGGGGAAAUAGAAGGCAAUAAAAAAAUAGUCCACUUUUAACCUUGGAUUUACAUUUAGUGUAAAAAAUAUAACCAUAUAAUGUUAGAAGCAUCUAACAGUUCUAUACUUUAAUACAAAAUAGUAAGUAAAUAAUUAUAAGAUACCCACAUAAAAGAUGUGCAUUUACUACAAUAAACAUGAUAAGCUAAUACUUUUUUAUCACUUUUUUUGUGUUUAUAUAAAUUGAUACAAUCGAUAUUCUAAUACUAUAAACCAUAAAAAAUGUACUUUGACUCAAGCUAUAUUAUACUAUAUUAAAUGUCUAAAUUUUCUUUAUUACAG
rnacentral:lncRNA from 1 species